GCCAAGCGCGGUGGUGCGUGCCUAUAGUCCCAGCUACUUGGGUAGCUGAGGUGGGAGGAUCGCUUGAGCCCAGGAGUUCUGGGCUGGAGUGUGUUAUGCCGAUCAGGUGUCUGCACUAAGUUCGGCAUCAAUAUAGUGACCUCCUAGGAGUGGGGACCACCAGGUUGCCUAAGGAGGGGUGAACCAGCCCAGGUCGGAAAUGGAGCAGGUCAAAACUCCCAUGCUGAUCAGUAGUGGGAUCGUGCCUGUGAAUACCCACUGCCCUCCAGCCUGGGCAACAUAGUGAGACCCGGUCUCUU
ensembl:misc_RNA Metazoa_SRP Metazoan signal recognition particle RNA